ensembl:miRNA
GUUGAUGGACCCGUCCUCCGGUGCCUACUGAGCUGAUAUCAGUUCUGAUUUUACAUACUGGCUCAGUUCAGCAGGAACAGGAGUCGAGCCCUAAA